CCUACGGGUGGCUGCAGUGGGGAAUAUUGGACAAUGGGCGAAAGCCUGAUCCAGCCAUGCCGCGUGUGUGAAGAAGGUCUUCGGAUUGUAAAGCACUUUAAGUUGGGAGGAAGGGUUGUAGAUUAAUACUCUGCAAUUUUGACGUUACCGACAGAAUAAGCACCGGCUAACUCCGUGCCAGCAGCCGCGGUAAUACAGAGGGUGCAAGCGUUAAUCGGAAUUACUGGGCGUAAAGCGCGCGUAGGUGGUUUGUUAAGUUGGAUGUGAAAGCCCCGGGCUCAACCUGGGAACUGCAUCCAAAACUGGCGAGCGAGAGUACGGUAGAGGGUGGUGGAAUUGGCUGUGUAGCGGUGAAAUGCGUAGAUAUAGGAAGGAACACCAAUUGCGAAGGCGACCACCUGGACUGAUACUGACACUGAGGUGCGAAAGCGUGGGGAGCAAACAGGAUUAGAUACCCCAGUAGUC
rnacentral:rRNA from 1 species